UACUGAAAGUAUUGUGGGAAAUAAUGUGUAAAUCAUUGACCGUUCCUGCGCUGGUAAGAAUAAANUUUUAGUCCAGACACCACCAGUAU
ncrna:unclassified sequences AdoCbl variant RNA